rnacentral:misc_RNA from 1 species
GGCAUGGUCCUCAUUGGAGCCAUGACCACUUUCUACAGGAGUAACAUAGCAGUGAUUUUCUGGCAGUGGGCUAACCAGUCGUUCAAUGCACUGGUAAACUACACCAAUAGAAAUGCGGCAGCUGACAUUUCUAAAAAACAGCUAGGAUUUGCCUACAUCUCUGCCACUUCAUGUGCUCUUGUAACAGCCCUGGGAUUGAAAGCAGUUUUAAGUCAGAGAGCAUCUCCAAUCCAUCAGCGCUUUGUGCCAUUUGCUGCAGUUUGUGCAUCUAAUAUGGUGAAUAUUCCCCUGAUGAGACAGAGUGAAAUUCAAAAUGGAGUAGUAGUCACAGACGAAGAUAACAAUCCUGUAACAAAGUCAAAGUAUGCAGCUUUUAAAGGAAUUGGCCAAGUCGUUUUUUCAAGAAUUGUCAUUUGUUCUCCAAGUAUGGUGUUACUACCUUUUUUGAUGGAAAAGUUAGAGAAAACGGCUUUCAUGGUGCGAUAUGGUCGUUAUGUUAAUGCACCUUUUCAAAUUCUGCUCUCUGGGCUAAGUUUGGUGGUAAUGGUUCCUGUGGGUUGUGCUCUCUUCAAUCAAAGAUGCUCCAUCACAGUAGACAAGCUGAAAAUAAUAGACUCUGAGGCCUACGAAGAAGUCAAAUCCAAAUAUGGUGAUAAUAUACCAAAGAAGCUGUACUUUAACAAAGGGUUAUAAUCAGGGUAUUUGAUUAUUCCAAUAAUUACUCAAAUUAUGUACAUGUAUAUUGUAUGUUUAUUGUGAUAAAGCUUAGUUUCUCAGACAUUUUAACAGCUAGGUCAAAUACUGCUGAAAUAAUGAUUUUUUUUUUGGAGGGGGACUGUAUAAGGAAAAGAUAAAAUAUUGUAUUUUUAUGAAUUUUGACAUGCCUAAGUCUAUUUUUAAUUACUCUACCAUAGAUUUUUUAAAUGAUAAUUUUUAAGCAACUUCACAAAGCGAGAAAUUGUACACGUUUAAAAGAAAAUUAAAGGUAAACAUUAUGUAGAUAGUAUUUUAGCUGCAUAAAUCGCAUCUUUUUACCAGAGAAACUAAACAUUUUCUUUGGCCUCAGAAGGUUUUCUCUCAAGACUAAGUGUGUUCAUGUGUAUGUCAGUUGUUUGGAUCAUGAAUGAUUUGGAUUUUCCUUGUAUUUGUGUUUUGAAUUUCUGCUGAUUAGGUGACAAAGUAAUUAAAGCUAUGAAAGGCUAAAAGUCAUGGAGUACUUGUAUAUUUCUUUUUUUCAAUUUACAUGCAAAAUCAGAUCUACCAUAUAUUUUUACAAUGAGAAGUCAUGCUUUACAAAUGAAUGUGACAUUUGUAUAAAUUUUAUAUACUGGUAUACCCUUUAAGUGUACACCUGUAGCUAUGCUAAGUAACCAAUUUAUGGAAGAUGUGUUUCUGCUGUAUGCAUUUUGUUAAAAGAAAAUUUGUUCACAAUAAAUCUAUUAAUGAAAAAGU